rnacentral:rRNA from 1 species
GGUGACUGCGUACCUUUUGUAUAAUGGGUCAGCGACUUAUUUUCAGUGGCAAGCUUAACCGAAUAGGGGAGGCGUAGCGAAAGCGAGUCUUAAUAGGGCGACAGUCGCUGGGAAUAGACCCGAAACCGGGCGAUCUAUCCAUGGGCAGGUUGAAGGUUGGGUAACACUAACUGGAGGACCGAACCGACUAUCGUUGAAAAGCUAGCGGAUGACCUGUGGAUCGGAGUGAAAGGCUAAUCAAGCCCGGAGAUAGCUGGUUCUCCUCGAAAGCUAUUUAGGUAGCGCCUCGUGUAUCACUGCUGGGGGUAGAGCACUGUUUUGGCUAGGGGGUCAUCCCGACUUACCAACCCAAUGCAAACUCCGAAUACCAGCAAGUGCGAGCACGGGAGACACACGGCGGGUGCUAACGUCCGUCGUGGAAAGGGAAACAACCCAGACCGUCAGCUAAGGUCCCAAAGUUAUGGUUAAGUGGGAAACGAUGUGGGAAGGCUUAGACAGCUAGGAAGUUGGCUUAGAAGCAGCCAUCUUUUAAAGAAAGCGUAAUAGCUCACUAGUCGAGUCGGCCUGCGCGGAAGAUGUAACGGGGCUCAAACCAUACACCGAAGCUACGGACAUAGACAUUCCACUUAAAAUCAUUCAAUUGUUUACGCUUGCGAGCCGUUAGGCGAGCAAAGCACACCCUCACGUUGAGGGAAGUAAAAGUAAAAUAAACAGUGGUUUUAAGGGAAUGUCUAUGUGGUAGAGGAGCGUUGUGUAAGCCGUUGAAGGUGAGUUGAGAAGCUUGCUGGAGGUAUCACAAGUGCGAAUGCUGACAUGAGUAACGAUAAUGAGUGUGAAAAACACUCACGCCGAAAGACCAAGGUUUCCUGCGCAACGUUAAUCGACGCAGGGUGAGUCGGCCCCUAAGGCGAGACUGAAAAGUGUAGUCGAUGGGAAACAGGUUAAUAUUCCUGUACUUCUAAUUAUUGCGAUGGAGAGACGGAGAAGGCUAGGCCAUCAGGGCGUUGGUUGUCCCUGUUUAAGGUGGUAGGCAGAGAUCUUAGGAAAAUCCGGGAUCUUGUUAAUGCCGAGAGCUGAUGACGAGCGUUCUUUAGAAUGCGAAGUGGUUGAUGCCAUGCUUCCAAGAAAAACUUCUAAGCUUCAGAUAAUUAGGAACCGUACCCCAAACCGACACAGGUGGUUGGGUAGAGAAUACCAAGGCGCUUGAGAGAACUCGGGUGAAGGAACUAGGCAAAAUGGCACCGUAACUUCGGGAGAAGGUGCGCUGGUGAGGGUGAAGUAUUUACUACGUAAGCCUUUGCUAGUCGAAGAUACCAGGCCGCUGCGACUGUUUAUUAAAAACACAGGACUCUGCAAACACGAAAGUGGACGUAUAGGGUCUGACGCCUGCCCGGUGCUGGAAGGUUAAUUGAUGGGGUUAGCGUAAGCGAAGCUCUUGAUCGAAGCCCCAGUAAACGGCGGCCGUAACUAUAACGGUCCUAAGGUAGCGAAAUUCCUUGUCG